rnacentral:rRNA from 1 species
AAGCGGACAGCGGCGGACGGGUGAGUAACGCGUAGGCAACCUGCCCCUGACAGAGGGAUAGCCAUUGGAAACGAUGAUUAAAACCUCAUGACACCGUAGUAGCACAUGCUACAUCGGUCAAAGAUUUAUCGGUCAGGGAUGGGCCUGCGUCUGAUUAACUGGUUGGUGAGGUAACGGCUCACCAAGGUGACGAUCAGUAGCCGACCUGAGAGGGUGAUCGGCCACAUUGGAACUGAGACACGGUCCAAACUUCUACGGAAGGCAGCAGUAGGGAAUCUUGCACAAUGGGCGAAAGCCUGAUGCAGCAACGCCGCGUGAAGGAUGAAGGCCUUCGGGUUGUAAACUUCUGUUCUAAGGGAAGAAAGAAAUGACGGUACCUUAGGAGCAAGCCCCGGCUAACUACGUGCCAGCAGCCGCGGUAAUACGUAGGGGGCAAGCGUUAUCCGGAAUUAUUGGGCGUAAAGAGUGCGUAGGUGGUUACCUAAGCGCAAGGUUUAAAUUAGAGGCUCAACCUCUACAUGCCUUGCGAACUGGGCUACUUGAGUGCAGGAGGGGAAAGCGGAAUUCCUAGUGUAGCGGUGAAAUGCGUAGAUAUUAGGAGGAACACCGGCGGCGAAGGCG